UUGGGGAUGUAGCUCAGUGGCAGAGAGUGCUUGACUAGCCUAUGUGAAGCCCUGGGUUCAAUUCCCAGUUUGCAAA
rnacentral:tRNA from 1 species